rnacentral:misc_RNA from 1 species
GAUGAAGAACGCAGCGAAAUGCGAUAAGUAAUGUGAAUUGCAGAAUUCAGUGAAUCAUCGAAUCUUUGAACGCACAUUGCACCCGCUAGUAUUCUGGCGGGCAUGCCUGUCCGAGCGUCAUUUCAACCCUCAAGCCCCCGGGCUUGGUGUUGGGGAUCGGCGAGCCUCCGCGCCCGCCGUCCCCUAAAUCUAGUGGCGGUCUCGCUGUAGCUUCCUCUGCGUAGUAGCACACCUCGCACUGGGAAACAGCGCGGCCACGCCGUUAAACCCCCAACUUCUGAACGUUUGACCUCGGAUCAGGUAGGAAUACCCGCUGAACUUAAGCAUAUCAAUAAGCGGAGGA